UCAUUUAACUCCUCUCUUUCUUUUUUUUAAACUUCAUAUUUCUCCAAUCCUGAUUGGCUCGUGUCUCCCACGCUCACGCUCAACAAUCACGAGACACCUUUUUGGCGGCCUCACUUCCUCACCACGUCCAUUCCUCUCGCUCUAUAUAGUAUAUAAUAUAACUCCCUCCGUCCCUCCUCUUUCUCUGUUUUCUCUUCAUUCUCACCUUAGCUGUAACUGCCUUUCUCUCUCUCUGUGCUUGCUGUUUCAAAAACCCUAGUUUUCCUGUGCCUUCGAGCUUCAUUUUGUUAGCUGUAUGUACAUUUGAGUUUAGCUUUGACGAUGGGAAGUUGUUGGAAAGGAGUGAACUACUCUGUUUCGUAUCAGGAUCGUCGAUUCUCUAAGCAGAUUCGCGAUAAUGUCCAUGGCUACAUCUACCUCGAUCCACUCUUUCUGAAGUUCGUUGAUACUGAACAAUUUCAGAGACUUCGUGAUCUAAAGCAACUUGGUCUAACAUACUUGGUUUAUCCAGGAGCUGUACAUUCUCGGUUUGAGCACUCACUAGGUGUAUACUGGCUGGCCAGUGAAGCAGUUCAAAGGAUUAAAAUUUACCAAGGUUCGGAGCUUGAUAUUAAUGACUCUGAUAUAAUUACAGUGAAACUUGCUGGACUAUUGCAUGAUAUUGGACAUGGGCCAUUCAGCCAUUUGUUUGAGAGCGAGUUUCUCCCCCGAGUUUAUAAUGGCCUUAACUGGUCACAUGAAGACAUGUCGCUGAAAAUGAUAGACUUUAUUGUAGAUACACACCAUAUUGACAUAGAUCCUGAAUACCUAAAGAAAGCCAAGGAGAUGAUCACUGCUAGCAGUGGACAUGCUUCUCAAAAUGCUGUAAAUGAAAAGCGCUUCCUACAUGAUAUUGUUGCAAAUGGUCGAAAUGGGAUAGAUGUGGACAAGUUUGAUUACCUUAUCCGUGACUCCCGGGCUUGUGGACUGGGGUGUAGUUUCCAGUUUGAGAGGUUAAUGGGUAGCAUGAAUGUUGUAGGGGAUGAGAUAUGCUACCGCGCCAAAGAUUAUCUCACAGUCCAAAAGUUAUUUGCCACUCGUGCUGAUAUGCAUCGAACCGUCUAUACACAUGCAAAAGUGAAGGCAAUAGAACUCAUGGUUGUGGAUGCUUUGUCAAAAGCAAAUGAUUAUCUCGGGAUUUCAUCCUCAAUUGAUGAUCCAUCUCAAUUUUGGAAGAUAGAUGACUCUAUACUGAAAGUUGUUGAAACUAAUCCUGCCAAGGAGCUGAAGGAAGCGAGAGAACUGAUCCAGCGGAUUAGGAGAAGAGACCUAUACCAGUUCUGCAAUGAGUUUUCGGUUCCAAAAGACAAGCUAGAGCACUUCAAAGACGUCACACCACAGGACAUUGUUUGUUCCCAGAAAACUGAUCACGCUACACUGAAAGAGGAAGAUGUUGCUGUAAGCAUUACUAAGAUUGAUUUGACACGUGGAAGGAGGGAUCCUCUUGAAAGCGUCCUUUUUUUCGAGGUCUAUCUUAUCAGGAUUAUGCGAGCAAGAGCAAAUUCACAAUAGAAAAAGAUCUCAUCAGUCACUUGCUGCCUUCUUCUUACCAAGACAAGAUAGUGAGGGUUUAUGCUAAGAAGCCUGAGCUGGUGGAUGCAGUUUCGGUGGCCUUCGAGAACUUCCAGCAGAAGACAUAUGGAAUGAAAGCACAGGUACACGCUACUCCUGACAAGAAGAGACGGAAAAACUUGUUCUGCUCGUAAUCACUUACAUCUAUAUAUGCCUUGGUCUUAGAACUUGUACGUAUUAGUAACAGUUGGAAAGGGGGUAGGAAAAAGAAAAAAUUUAGACUAGGUUCACAAUACGUCCUGCCUGCGGCUUUUUCUCCAUUUACUUGGAGACCUCAGAUUAAAAUGUACAUGCUUUACGCAAACACUGAGUGGAUCAUCAUCGUAAUUGCCAUUGAUGUAAUAGGUUUAGAUGUUCCACUUGUAGUUCUUUUAGUAUGAAUUGGGAAGUCGAAUGAAUUUGAUGCGACACACAAAUUAAUUUUCA